UACCAGCUCUCCGAGUGGUGUGGAUGUUUAUUGGGCCUAAAGCAUCCGUAGCUGGCUGGGCAAGUCCCCUGUUAAAUCCACCGAUUUAAUCGUUGGUGUGCGGGGGAUACUGUUCGGCUAGGGGACGGGAGAGGCCGACGGUAUUUUCGGGGUAGGGGUGAAAUCCUAUAAUCCCGGGAAGACCACCAGUGGCGAAGGCUGUCGGCUAGAACGCGCCCGACGGUGAGGGAUGAAAGCUGGGGGAGCGAACCGGAUUAGAUACCCGGGUAGUCCCAGCUGUAAACGAUGCAGGCUAGGUGUUUGGGCGGCCACGUGCCGCUCUAGUGCCGCAGAGAAGGCGUUAAGCCUGCCGCCUGGGGAGUACGGCCGCAAGGCUGAAACUUAAAGGAAUUGGCGGGGAGCACCACAAGGGGUGAAGCUUGCGGUUU
rnacentral:rRNA from 1 species